GGUUAAGCGACUAAGCGUACACGGUGGAUGCCCUGGCAGUCAGAGGCGAUGAAGGACGUGCUAAUCUGCGAUAAGCGCCGGUAAGGUGAUAUGAACCGUUAUAACCGGCGAUUUCCGAAUGGGGAAACCCAGUGUGAUUCGUCACACUAUCAUUAACUGAAUCCAUAGGUUAAUGAGGCGAACCGGGGGAACUGAAACAUCUAAGUACCCCGAGGAAAAGAAAUCAACCGAGAUUCCCCCAGUAGCGGCGAGCGAACGGGGAGGAGCCCAGAGCCUGAAUCAGCAUGUGUGUUAGUGGAAGCGUCUGGAAAGGCGCGCGAUACAGGGUGACAGCCCCGUACACAAAAGCGCAUGUGCUGUGAGCUCGAUGAGUAGGGCGGGACACGUGGUAUCCUGUCUGAAUAUGGGGGGACCAUCCUCCAAGGCUAAAUACUCCUGACUGACCGAUAGUGAACCAGUACCGUGAGGGAAAGGCGAAAAGAACCCCGGCGAGGGGAGUGAAAAAGAACCUGAAACCGUGUACGUACAAGCAGUGGGAGCACAGGUUUACCUGUGUGACUGCGUACCUUUUGUAUAAUGGGUCAGCGACUUAUAUUCUGUAGCAAGGUUAACCGUAUAGGGGAGCCGUAGGGAAACCGAGUCUUAACCGGGCGUUAAGUUGCAGGGUAUAGACCCGAAACCCGGUGAUCUAGCCAUGGGCAGGUUGAAGGUUGGGUAACACUAACUGGAGGACCGAACCGACUAAUGUUGAAAAAUUAGCGGAUGACCUGUGGCUGGGGGUGAAAGGCCAAUCAAACCGGGAGAUAGCUGGUUCUCCCCGAAAGCUAUUUAGGUAGCGCCUCGUGAAUUCAUCUCCGGGGGUAGAGCACUGUUUCGGCUAGGGGGCCAUCCCGGCUUACCAACCCGAUGCAAACUGCGAAUACCGGAGAAUGUUAUCACGGGAGACACACGGCGGGUGCUAACGUCCGUCGUGAAGAGGGAAACAACCCAGACCGCCAGCUAAGGUCCCAAAGUCAUGGUUAAGUGGGAAACGAUGUGGGAAGGCCCAGACAGCCAGGAUGUUGGCUUAGAAGCAGCCAUCAUUUAAAGAAAGCGUAAUAGCUCACUGGUCGAGUCGGCCUGCGCGGAAGAUGUAACGGGGCUAAACCAUGCACCGAAGCUGCGGCAGCGAACGUAUCACCCAAGACAACUUUACGGAGUUGACGAUUGACGGAGCGAAGCGACGUCAAAGCGUUCAUUAAAGUCGAGUUGGCUUAGGGAUACGUUCGUUGGGUAGGGGAGCGUUCUGUAAGCCUGUGAAGGUGUGUCGUGAGGCAUGCUGGAGGUAUCAGAAGUGCGAAUGCUGACAUAAGUAACGAUAAAGCGGGUGAAAAGCCCGCUCGCCGGAAGACCAAGGGUUCCUGUCCAACGUUAAUCGGGGCAGGGUGAGUCGACCCCUAAGGCGAGGCCGAAAGGCGUAGUCGAUGGGAAACGGGUUAAUAUUCCCGUACUUGGUGUUACUGCGAAGGGGGGACGGAGAAGGCUAUGUUGGCCGGGCGACGGUUGUCCCGGUUUAAGCGUGUAGGUGUGUGUUCCAGGUAAAUCCGGUUCACUUUAACACUGAGGCGUGACGACGAGGCACUACGGUGCUGAAGCAACAAAUGCCCUGCUUCCAGGAAAAGCCUCUAAGCAUCAGGUAACACGAAAUCGUACCCCAAACCGACACAGGUGGUCAGGUAGAGAAUACCAAGGCGCUUGAGAGAACUCGGGUGAAGGAACUAGGCAAAAUGGUGCCGUAACUUCGGGAGAAGGCACGCUGACACGUAGGUGAAGUGAUUUACUCAUGGAGCUGAAGUCAGUCGAAGAUACCAGCUGGCUGCAACUGUUUAUUAAAAACACAGCACUGUGCAAACACGAAAGUGGACGUAUACGGUGUGACGCCUGCCCGGUGCCGGAAGGUUAAUUGAUGGGGUCAGCGUAAGCGAAGCUCCUGAUCGAAGCCCCGGUAAACGGCGGCCGUAACUAUAACGGUCCUAAGGUAGCGAAAUUCCUUGUCGGGUAAGUUCCGACCUGCACGAAUGGCGUAAUGAUGGCCAGGCUGUCUCCACCCGAGACUCAGUGAAAUUGAACUCGCUGUGAAGAUGCAGUGUACCCGCGGCAAGACGGAAAGACCCCGUGAACCUUUACUAUAGCUUGACACUGAACAUUGAGCCUUGAUGUGUAGGAUAGGUGGGAGGCUUUGAAGUGUGGACGCCAGUCUGCAUGGAGCCGACCUUGAAAUACCACCCUUUAAUGUUUGAUGUUCUAACGUGGACCCGUAAUCCGGGUUGCGGACAGUGUCUGGUGGGUAGUUUGACUGGGGCGGUCUCCUCCUAAAGAGUAACGGAGGAGCACGAAGGUUGGCUAAUCCUGGUCGGACAUCAGGAGGUUAGUGCAAUGGCAUAAGCCAGCUUGACUGCGAGCGUGACGGCGCGAGCAGGUGCGAAAGCAGGUCAUAGUGAUCCGGUGGUUCUGAAUGGAAGGGCCAUCGCUCAACGGAUAAAAGGUACUCCGGGGAUAACAGGCUGAUACCGCCCAAGAGUUCAUAUCGACGGCGGUGUUUGGCACCUCGAUGUCGGCUCAUCACAUCCUGGGGCUGAAGUAGGUCCCAAGGGUAUGGCUGUUCGCCAUUUAAAGUGGUACGCGAGCUGGGUUUAGAACGUCGUGAGACAGUUCGGUCCCUAUCUGCCGUGGGCGCUGGAGAACUGAGGGGGGCUGCUCCUAGUACGAGAGGACCGGAGUGGACGCAUCACUGGUGUUCGGGUUGUCAUGCCAAUGGCACUGCCCGGUAGCUAAAUGCGGAAGAGAUAAGUGCUGAAAGCAUCUAAGCACGAAACUUGCCCCGAGAUGAGUUCUCCCUGAGACUUAGAGUCUCCUGAAGGAACGUUGAAGACGACGACGUUGAUAGGCCGGGUGUGUAAGCGCAGCGAUGCGUUGAGCUAACCGGUACUAAUGAACCGUGAGGCUUAACCUU
rnacentral:rRNA from 1 species